GAACUGCGAUAAGUAAUGUGAAUUGCAGAAUUCAGUGAAUCAUCGAGUCUUUGAACGCACAUUGCGCCCCCUGGCAUUCCGGGGGGCAUGCCUGUCCGAGCGUCAUUGCUGCCCUCAAGCCCGGCUUGUGUGUUGGGUCGUCGUCCCCCUCGGGGGACGGGCCCGAAAGGCAGCGGCGGCACCGUGUCCGGUCCUCGAGCGUAUGGGGCUUUGUCACCCGCUCGAUUAGGGCCGGCCGGGCGCCAGCCGGCGUCUCCAACCUUAUUUUUCUCAGGUUGACCUCGGAUCAGGUAGGGAUACCCGCUGAACUUAAGC
rnacentral:misc_RNA from 1 species